GAUGAACGCUGGCGGCGUGCCUAAUACAUGCAAGUCGAGCGAACAGACGAGGAGCUUGCUCCUCUGACGUUAGCGGCGGACGGGUGAGUAACACGCGGAUAACCUACCUAUAAGACUGGGAUAACUUCGGGAAACCGGAGCUAAUACCGGAUAAUAUAUUGAACCGCAUGGUUCAAUAGUGAAAGACGGUUUUGCUGUCACUUAUAGAUGGAUCCGCGCCGCAUUAGCUAGUUGGUAAGGUAACGGCUUACCAAGGCAACGAUGCGUAGCCGACCUGAGAGGGUGAUCGGCCACACUGGAACUGAGACACGGUCCAGACUCCUACGGGGCAGCAGUAGGGAAUCUUCCGCAAUGGGCGAAAGCCUGACGGAGCAACGCCGCGUGAGUGAUGAAGGUCUUCGGAUCGUAAAACUCUGUUAUUAGGGAAGAACAAAUGUGUAAGUAACUAUGCACGUCUUGACGGUACCUAAUCAGAAAGCCACGGCUAACUACGUG
rnacentral:rRNA from 1 species